rnacentral:lncRNA from 1 species
AAAGCAUACUGAUGGCCCAAGUGAUCACAAAAGACAAGUUGUGCCCAGUUACCAGAUCCUUGAGUUCAGUACAUCCUGCUCUGUCACCUUAUCCACAUAAAUUAAAGGAACUCCAUUAAAAAGUGUUAUGACAACUUUGAGAUGGUAACUGGCUAUGUGAAGAAAGAGGCCCUGGAAUUCUCUCUGGAUCUUACUAAACAAGGUUUGGAUGACAUCUGCCUAAUGCCUUAUCCAAGUGCAAAACAAAGAAGAUUUUCAGCUUUUUACUUAUCAAAAAUGGGUCAUCUGGUCUUCGGGGAGUCAAGAUGAAAAAGCAGAAGGUAAG